rnacentral:rRNA from 1 species
AUUGAACGCUGGCGGCAGGCCUAACACAUGCAAGUCGAACGAGUGGCGGACGGGUGAGUAAUGCAUCGGAAUCUGCCCGUUAGUGGGGGAUAACUACUGGAAACGUUGGCUAAUACCGCAUACUAUCGAAUGCGCCCAUAUGGGAUUAGCUAGUUGGUGGGGUAAAGGCUCACCAAGGCGACGAUCGGUAGCUGGUCUGAGAGGAUGAUCAGCCACACUGGAACUGAGACACGGUCCAGACUCCUACGGUAGGCAGCAGUGGGGAAUAUUGGACAAUGGGCGCAAGCCUGAUGCAGCCAGACCGCGUGUAUGAAGAAGGCCUUAGGGUUGUAAAGUACUUUUGGCGGGGAAGCGUUACCCGAAGAAUAAGCACCGGCUAACUCCGUGCCAGCAGCCGCGGUAAUUC